CUAGAGAAGAAAUGGAAGGAACCAUAGCAUCCAGACAGGUUCCCGCUGGUCCCCUUGAAUUCACCCUCUGCUUCCAGAAGAACCAUCCUAUUGUCUGAGCACAGGACAGACACAAUCUUUUCUUUUGGACUGAUUUUGCUUUCAGAACCUUUACCACUGCUCCUUCUCUUAAGAAUACCGGCAUCUAUUCUCCCUGCCUUUUCUUCCUGCACAGAUCCCAGGAUUCCUCUUGGUGCCCACCUAUGUCAGUCAAAAUAUCCACCCACAAAGAGAGAGACUAUAUUGGUGCAAUAUACAAUAACUACACCUUUACUUCUUGGUUGAAUCCAUUGCCCCUUAGGAUCUCUUGGUCUUUUAUACCUGCUCUUCGGUUCUUUGCUAUUUCCCAUCCACCCAACAGUCCCUGUGAGGCAGUGGGCCUUUAUGGCAGAGUCCUGAAUUCUAAGCAAGAUGGGCAGUGGAGAAAAGUUUUUUAAAUAGAUGUGGUUCGGGCUUUUAGGUUUAUUUUCAUGACUGGUCAAUAGAAUUUGAGACAGAUGAUAAGGUAGUUUAGAAGCAUUCUUGCCUUGGCUAAUGGCAGACAUCAUUCUAUUCUAGGCCACAAAGCAAGAUUUCCAACUUUCAUUUUAAGAAAUUAAAUUAUAGAUUAUUUUUACUAAAGGGUAGUAGGAGAGAGAAAAAUAGAUUGGCAAUAUUAUAGGCACUAGCCAAGAGAUAGCACUUUUCUCCCCUUGUCUUCUCUACAUUCUGGGAGAGAUCAUAAGUAACAUUUUGCCAUCCCAUCCCUUAAUUUACAAAUCUACAUCCAUCCCUCUCCACUCCAUUUAAAACAUUACGUCUGCCUUCACCAUUGAUGGUGGUGAGUUUUGCAAACGCCACAGAACCCUUCAGAUUAAGCCUGUUUCUCAGAAAUCUCUUUCCAUGCUGCCUUCAUCUGUCUGAAAGAAAGAGACAAAGCAAAUUGUGGUCCCCCUCCAGCCAGAAGAAAAAUGCCAUUCCUUCUGUAGUGCAGACUGGUGUUCUCCCAACUCCCUCUUGCAUGCUGCAUGCUAAUUUAUUCCAUUGUACUCAACACUUCUACACCUCCUUUUAGAGAUGUUGUGUAGAUGACCUCCCUUUGAGCCAUCCAAUCAUUGUAGAAAUAUUCCCUUUCAUCGGUGAUUUGAAACAGAGAUAUUAUUAAUCCUUUGGGUGUUUCUGGUUGUUUUCCUAGUGCCGUGACUUCUUUUUUCAAACCAACAGUAGCUGUGGAAUGGUCACUGCUUCCCAGAACCUUUGAGCCAGGGGACAUGACGACCUCUCAGCUCAUUCCCAUUUACUAUCUGCCCACCCGCCUUCAAUUGGCCUUCAGGCUCCUGAUUUGCAUGGAUCCGAAUGGACAGUGGGUGGCUAAGAUCUCCUCCCCCCCCCAGUGCAAACCACUUCUGACAGCCCUAGGUUUGGGAAAUGCUAUUUGCAUUCAAACAUUUUGCCUGCCUGUUUUGCUGAUAAUAUGUUCAGUCUCCCCCAUCACCCACCCAUCACUCAAAGCCUCCUGGGUCUUGCUUUGAUAAUUGCACUACAGCUUCAAGCGAUCCGGUUGGGCUUUAUAGAUGAGAGGGCUCUAAUCUAGCAAUCCAAAGAACAUCCCAGGUUCCCUGAUUGGCUAGCAGCUGAGAAAAGAGAGACCACCUCAACUUUUUCUUCAGUGCCUCUAAGAGUGCAUGUUCAUCCAUGUUAUCCCUAGGUUGGAGACCCCUGGUAUAGGCAGUCACUUUAUUGCCAGUGGUGAUGGUGGAAACUGGAACUGGAGAAAGAGUAAGGUAGAAGCAUUCUUGCAAACAUUCUCCUUUGCAUUCUCUGUGCCACAAGGAAGAAUGGCAAACUCCAUUUAGUCAAGUCACUACAAGAUGCAAUUAAGGCCAUGUAGGAAAUGGCCUUUUCCUCAUUCAGCUUCACUUGACUCACACCUGUCCUCUCCUCUCCCUUGUGAAUAAUCUCCUGCUUGUCUUCCUUUUUCCCCCUUAGAUCUUCUCUCUCACUCACCGACAGUUUGGCAGAAUCUGCUGCCCUUGUCUUUUUUUUAGUAUCUCUCUCUCUUUCUCUUUUUGCACGUGAUGUCUUCUACUAAGAUGGAAUGUCAAUAAAGAAUGUUGUUAUGUAAAACAA